rnacentral:lncRNA from 10 species
ACACACGGACAGAGACGGGAGAGGAGAGAGAGAUGAAGAGAUAGAGAGGAGGAGAGGGAAGGGAGGAUAGGCAGGAGAGAGCCAAAAAGAUAGAGAGUGAAAGGAAGAGAGAGAUAAGAGAGAAGGAAAGAUGAGAGGGAGGAAGAUGGAGAAAGUAGAAGAGCAGGAAACAACAGUUGGAGAGAGAGAAAGAAGGAGAGAGAGAAAGAGAGACACUGAGCCCUGGGGACAGAGGGAAGGACAGCUGGGCUGGAGGCAGGGGGCCUGGGAGCCUGGUCAAGUCAGUCCAUGAGGCUGCUCUGAGACGUCACUGGGGGCAGGGAGAGAGUUAUCCAGAACUUUAGUACAGUCUUCUUUCUAGAAAACAGUGCUACCAGAAAGGGCUUAUGUCCAGAUCUGAGGUGCACUUACUUGUUCCCGAAGAUCCAAAUCUAAGUUGCUUUUAGAUUCUACUCUGUGCUUCCACGGAGUCUACUCUAACGACCUUGGCCAGGUCUCUGGCCUCCAUCAAGGAACGACCAGAAUUCCUGGGUCUGGCCACAGGUUUUGGCCCCGCCUCAGAGGGUUGGGUGAGGGGGCUUAGCAGGUGUAGGAGAGCUUGCUCUGGGCAGUAGCUGUGGGCCUUACUUCUGUAUUUGCCGCAGUAUCUGAUUUGCCCUGUAGAGCAUUUAUGUCACUAGGUUUUUACAAAAGUUGCUUUUUGACUUAUUGCCUUAGUGACGAGUUGUCAGGUUUUUCUCUGUUUAAGUGGCUACAGCUGAAUAGCUCAGGCCAAACUUAAAGCUCACACUUGAGACUUGACGUGCUCAGCUCCUGCUAAAGAGGCUCCAGGGCAGCGCCUGCCUUUCCGGGAAGCUCCCCUGAGGGUCACCGAGGCUGCAGAGAACACCCGGUGAUGACUGCAUGGAUCUCCUUCAUCUGCUGGGAUUCAAGCUGUGUUGCUGGUGUGGCAGUAAUGGAAUGUGAGGAGCACAACUGAACAAGUCACCAAACGUCAAUGAACCAGCUCACUGCUGCUUCUGGAGAACAGCCCGUGACAUUUUCCAAGCUGUGUUGCUCAGCCAGAUCCAGACGCCUGAUCUCCAGGGUGUUCACCAGCCACGUGGCAUCCUCCCAGUUUCCUGAGGCAAAGAUGCCGACCAAAGCGCCGUGUCAGUUCACACAUGGAACACGGUCAUCUCCAGGGUCCUGCCUACCCAUCUGAGGACAUGUCUGCUCAUCACCCAUGUGCAUUCUGUCACAGUGGGACCUGUGUGUGUUCCCUGCUCAUUGUCGUUUCCAUGGUUUUGCUGAUUCUAUGCGAUUCUUCCAGGCCACUCCAAGUUCCACCUCUUCCACGAAGCCCUCCUUGAUUGCUGGGCCCUGGUUGAACUCCUUAUUAGUAACACCCAGGGUUCUCAAAAAGGCAUUCUAGGAAGUCCUGUAAAAUACAUGCUCAUAAAAAUCUCAUAAUUUCCACAAAUUGUUGAGAAUUUAAAACUCGGUUGGGAGUUUGCUGUUUCAGCCUGAGACACCGGGGUCACGUUUCAGUGCCUGCAGUCUUGAGACAGUACCAGGCAUCUGGGAUGAAGCUGAGGAAAGAAGAUGUGGGGGCCCUGCUGGCCUGCUCCUUCUCUCGAAAGACGCUUACCGGCUGCUGGUGUGUCACAGGGCUUUAGGAUUUGGAAAAACAGAGGGAUUUAAAAGAAGAUAGAAUGGUCAGAAUUUCGAGAACUGUGUGCUGAAGUGCCAUCUUUAGGGUGCUCAUAACACGGCCUUACAACAUUAGAGGUGCUGGAAUCAUGGAAGAGGCAUCUGGACUCUGUAAUGUCCUUCCCCCUGGAAAAUCUGCUCCAGAAGUGGGGGAUUGGGAGCUGUCAACAUAUGAGCCAUCUUUUGCUCCGUUCAAGAUGGUAGGGGCAUUCUCAACAUGCCCCUCACUCUGAUUCUGCCUCACUUUUAUUUUAGAAUUUUCCACUGCCUUUUCUGGAAUGUGCUUUUUCAACCCUCAAAAUCUGUAGAGAAGAAAUAAGCAGAAACCGAAAUGGCUUUCUGGUGUUCUCCAUGCUCUCAGCUUACUGGAAAAUCGAGCCGCAGGCUCGAGGCUGGACUUUAAGGCAGAGCACUGCAAUUAUAGUGCUAUGGCCUUGGCUUCCUUUCUCAUCACCCAGGUACAGUCCUGCAGUCCUCAGAGGAUGCCAGUCCCACACAGGGGGAUCCUUCUCCAUAGGAAAACCGAGGAACAAUGCAGGUUCGAGGUGCACAGUGGCUAAGCACACUCAGUCCUCAAGAUCUUUCCUCUCAAAUGCUAAUGCUACCUUCAGAUGGGCUGCUGCCUGCUACCAUUUCAACAUUGAGUCCUUUAAGAUGCCAUCAGAGAGAGGGGAAGCAAGAGGCCAAGAAAAAUGAAAGGUAAGCACAAGACCAGUAGAAUGAGUGGGGAGAUCUGUCUGUCUGUCUGUCUGUUUGUUUGUUUGAAGUGUCUUCUGCUUGACUGCAGUUACUGUUCUUCAAGUGAGGGCGAAGCGCUUCUCUUCUCCUCUCUGAUAGCUCUGCAGCUCUCUAAGUAAACUCUUUGACAAACACAUCGCAGCAGCGAGUGGAAACAUGUCUGAGACGCUGCAGCAUAGCCCGGCUGGUUCUGUUCUUAGCAGUAUUUGCUAAGUUCCAUCCAUUAGAAUGUUUUUAAACAAUGGGACGCAUGUCAUCUUGAUUUGACAGGAUAAUCCUGAGUUUAUAGAAUUUCAUCACAGUGUGUGAAACUGGUUUUUAACUUCACUAUACUGGCCCUCAGCGGUGGAGUCAACUGGGCACUGAAUAGAAAAAUCUCCCUCCUCCGUGUUGUCCCCAGCCCACCACAUUUCGCCCUAAGCUCUGCCCUGCACCAACACCAGCCUUCUUCUGGAGUUUGGCAGCUGUGGCAACUGCUGGCUGUCUCUCAACCACUUCACAAUAUGUAUCAAUGUAUUCUACAAAUCAUUGUAUUUGCCAAGCAUUCUACUACUACACAGUUCUGAUUCAACUGACGUGUAUCUUAGAGGUCAAUAUAUUUUCUUUUUCCCUUAGCUUGGCUAGGACUCCAUAGGAAACAGCUAUUUGAGUGAUGAUAUAUAGGAGAAGGAUAGUACUGUAUUUAACUGUCUGUUAAUAUCAGAGAAGAUGAAUAUUUUUCACCUCCCUGUACAUAGCUAUGCAUAAGCUUGGUAUUCAUUUAUGAACAAUGUAGCAUUUUCAAAGGCACAACUGAUUUACUUACAUUAAGUCAAUAUAAAUAAAUUAUGUUAGUAGAUUGCGAAUUUUGAAAGUUGUAAUCAACAUCAAAAAUGAAAUGUCUUGGUUGUCCAACUUAAAUUAUAUAAUGCAAUUUCAACACAGUAAAAAAAAAAUCACCUAGCGUAAUAGUGAGAGUUUGAAUCAUUAUUAGUUAGAUUCUUGUUUGUAUUAAUUAAGAAUUUCACAGACAUUGUUUGUAAGUGAAAAAGAUAUUUUAAAUAAGUAUUUAGAACAAUUUUUGUUUUGUGAUCCUUCAUGCUGCCUGUUGAAUGAGUUAAGC